UGGGGAAUUUUCCGCAAUGGGCGAAAGCCUGACGGAGCAACGCCGCGUGAGGGAUGAAGGCCUCUGGGCUGUAAACCUCUUUUCUCAAGGAAGAAGAUCUGACGGUACUUGAGGAAUAAGCCACGGCUAAUUCCGUGCCAGCAGCCGCGGUAAUACGGGAGUGGCAAGCGUUAUCCGGAAUUAUUGGGCGUAAAGCGUCCGCAGGCGGCCUCGUAAGUCUGUCGUUAAAGCGUGGAGCUUAACUCCAUUUCAGCGAUGGAAACUGCGAGGCUAGAGUGUGGUAGGGGCAGAGGGAAUUCCCGGUGUAGCGGUGAAAUGCGUAGAUAUCGGGAAGAACACCAGUGGCGAAGGCGCUCUGCUGGGCCAUAACUGACGCUCAUGGACGAAAGCCAGGGGAGCGAAAGGGAUUAGAUUCCCCUGUAGU
rnacentral:rRNA from 1 species